rnacentral:rRNA from 1 species
UACAGAGGGUGCGAGCGUUGUCCGGAAUCACUGGGCGUAAAGGGCGCGUAGGUGGCGACCCAAGUCCGUGGUGAAAGCUCGUCGCUUAACGACGAGUCGGCCACGGAGACUGGGUGGCUCGAGCACUGUAGGGGCAGAUGGAAUUCCGGGUGUAGCGGUGGAAUGCGUAGAGAUCGGGAAGAACAUCGGUGGCGAAGGCGCUCUACUGGACCACAACUGACACUCAGGGACGAAAGCUAGGGGAGCGAAUGGG